UCACCUGUUUAUCAAAAACAUGUCUUAUUGAAAAUAAUUUUAAGUCAAAUCUGCUCAAUGAAUAAAUUUUAAAUAGCUGCAGUAUAAAUAACUGUACAAAGGUAGCAUAAUAAUUUGUUUUUUAAUUGAAAACUAGAAUGAAUGAUUUAAUGAAAUAUAAACUAUAUCAAAUUUAAAAAAUAAAUUUAUUAUUUAAAUAAAAAAAUUUAAAUAAUUUUUAAAGACGAGAAGACCCUAUAGAAUUUUAAUAAUAAAUUAUAUAAUUUAUAAUAUAAUUUAUUAUAUUAAUUGGGGAAAUUUUAAAAUUUUAAAAAUUUUUAAUUAAAAAAAACAUAAAUUUUUGAAUAAAUAUUAUUUUUUUAAAAAAAUAAAUUAAAUUACCUUAGGGAUAACAGCAUAAUUUUUUUUUUAAGUUCAAAUUUAUAAAAAAGUUUAUGACCUCG
rnacentral:rRNA from 1 species